ACACUUUUUCUCUCUGAAUAUUUUAACCAUAGCAGAUUAGUUAUAUAACAAAUAACUAUAAUGAUAGUAACAACAAUAUGAUGAUGCUAAUUCCAACCAUUCUUGGGUACUUACUGCAUGACAAGUACAUUAUAUACAUACAUCACUGACCUAAUUUAAUAUUUAUUACAGCCCUGUAACAAUUGUUAUUUCCCACCAUAGAACUGAGGAAACGAAUAUUCAAGGAGAUUAAAUAAAUUAGCCACAAUCAUAUAGCUACUAAAUGAUACAAUUGGGAUUCAGGCUCUUGUCUGUCUGAAUUCGAAGCUCAUAUUCUUUCUAUAAUGCUCAGCUGAUUUUCUCAGAAAUAAAUCAUUUGUAUAGUUGUACUGUCAUGUUGUUAUGUUCAAAGAAAAACGAGGGUUCAAGCAAAGAAUUCCAGAGUUUUAUUUUUAUUUUUUACUGAAGUAUAGUUGAUGUACAAUGUUAAAUUCUACAAUUUUAAAUGAUGAACAUUGAAAUUAUAUUUUUUCCUGCCUGGAGGGCACUGCUUACUGCUAUUGAUUGUUUUUGCAGAAGAAUGAGCAUUUUCCUUUCCUUCAUUGUUAACAAACUUAAUUCAGCCAUCAGUGGGUAAGUGACUCAGGCCCAGUUAAAGUGAGAGAUGCAAUUGGAACGUUUCACAAUGAAAAGAGAAAAAAAGAAAACGUGGUCUCUUUUCACAAUGAUCCUCAGUCCCUACCAUCUAAAGAGAUAUGUCAAGCGGAGAUAAUUAUUCCAGUGAGUUCAGAGAUAGGAUUGCAUAAUGAAUUUCAACACAACACCAUGAUAAUGAAGUGAAUGCCUUCUGUACAAAGCAACUGGCGAACUCUCAGAGAUAAUUUGGGUUUCUGGAUGUUGAGGUUACCAUAGACUGAAGCAAGCCUUCUGUAGAAUCAAGCACUGUGGAGUACGAGUAGGUGGUGGUAAGCACUGCGUGAGGACACUAAGAACUAGAUUUCAUGGUGUCUUAAUUCUAAUGAACCAGUCCUCAUCCAUGAUCAAAGGUUGAGAUUGUCCUGAAUUACUUAGGUGAUCCAAAGCUGGGCUGCAAAUUGGUGAGAGAACUGACUUAUUUCCACUUCACCGUCUUCCUGAAGGCAAAGCUCUUUGGGGUUCCAGCUUAAAAGCAGAGGGUGUCAUUGACUCCUUAUCGGAGGCGAGCCCAAGCUUUGUUUUUUGGCCCCUUUGCUUCACGGGACUACCAGAACUGCUGCUUAGUUUUGCGGUUAUUCCUUCCAGAGCAUCAAAUGCCUUCCAAGCAAAAGCAGCAUUGAGCCCUGGGCUAACUUCUCUGGAUUCUCUUGCCUUUUCCUAGAUUUUGACCCAAUAACUUCUGACUAUCAUAUUAACUCAGGACCUGAAAGGUUUUAACAGAGAUGAGCUCUUGGAAAGAGCUGAUGCUUGGUCCCACAUUUGUUUUCCCCAUUGGGAACCUUUCACUUCCGCGUUAACCCUGCCAUGCCUGACUCCAGGAAAUAAUCUAUUCCACCCAGAUAACUUUAGCUCAAGACUGUACAAAGUCUUUGGUUCCUCUUAAUAUCCGAGAGAGGAAGACAUUUUCAAAACCACAGAACCAAAACACUAAGGAUCUCUAAGAAGGAAAAGUAUAGGGAAGAAAAUCAUGAUAGCUAUUUUGCAAAGAAUUGGGUUUUGUUUUCUGAAGCUAAAAUGAGACGUGGUGUUCCUGAUUCCCACCAGGAGAACUUGCUUCUGUGGCACCUGGGCCCCUGGCCAGCGAAGGCUCAGAGGUAAGGCCCUCCCAUCAAGUCUGAAUUUUCUUUGGGAAAGCUGCCCUGACUAGGAGAAUUAACAGGACUAUGAGCCAUGGUUCAGUGAAAAGCCUUACUCGGCUGGCUAAGGGGACCAGGCGUGCGUUUUUCCUCAGACGUCCAAUCCCUCUUGCAACCCAGACAAGGUUAAUGAGGGUUUUGAGGGAAGAGGCUUUCAUAACCUCUUUCAAAUCAGACCCAAAUUAUUUAGAAUCUCUCUCUCUGCAUGACACUUCACACUUAAUGAAGGGCUUCAGUUCCAGGCACCCUUAUUCUAGGGCUGUGCUGUUCAGUAUGGUAGCCACCAGACACGUGUGGCUAUUGGGCACUUGAAUAUGGCUCUAUGAGCUGACUGUGCUGGAAGUAUAACCUACA